UACAAGUAGAGUCCAGAAACUACUAUUUCUUAAUUAAACGGGGCGUAUCCGAAAAGCCUAUGAGUAGGAACUAA
rfam:Bacteroides graminisolvens DSM 19988 = JCM 15093 DNA, contig: JCM15093.contig00002.